UGCCUCAGCCUCCCAAGUGUAGCUGGGACUACAGGCACACGCCACCAUGCCCAGCUAAUUUUUGUUUUUUUUAAUGUAGAGAUAAGAGUCUCACUAUGUUGCCCAGGUUGAUCUCAAACUCCUGGUCUCAAGAGAUCCUCCCACCUCAGCCUCCCAGAGUCAGAACCCAGAUCCUGGAACUCUUCUUUUCUUCUUCUAUACCACUGCUUCCUUGCAGAUACCAGGUUUCGCCAUGUUGACCAGGCUGGUCUCAAACUCCCAACCUCAAGUGAUCCACCUGCCUUGGCCUCCCAGAGUGCUGGGAUUACAGGUGUGAGCCACCAUGCCCGGCCUAAAAGAUAAGAGAUCAAGAUAUAUACAAAUUAGUCUUUGAAAGAUCUUUCACCUUGUUCAAAGUUAAGAUCCUGUGAACACCAGAAUUGUUCCAUGGCCUCUUCACUAUUGAUUGCAACAGUAUCAUUUACCUGAAGUUACACAGUGACCACAAAAACCAUGUCCAGGACACCAAAUUUCUACUGCGAACUCUAGGUCCUCACGAGCCUUUCUCUGCGAGUCCAAAAUUCAGCCACAUUUCCUAAGAGGCACCUGUACUUGUCUAUUUCAAUGCAGCCAGAAGCUGACAACGGCCCAGGAACCAGGACUGCUUUCAGGAGGCGCUCAGAAGGGCAGCAAAGUACCCUCUCAACAUUAGUAAAAUGAAACAAAAGUGUCAAAAAAAAAAAAAAAAA
rnacentral:lncRNA from 1 species